GUUAUUUUGUUUACAUUCAGCUGAUAUUGAGGUCUGCGACAUAAGGCAAUCCAUCGCACACAUUUCUGGAAGUUUGUCUUUGGUUUGGGGAAUGUUUAUUGGGCCUACACAAAACAAUGGCGGAUGUCCGAGUUCUGUCCGAGGCGUGGGGUGGUGGGCGGAGCUUAUUUUUCAUUGGUCAAAAUUCAGGUCGUGAACUUCUGUGGAUCCGUGAAGUCGAGAAAUCAAAGUACUGAAAGUACUCAUGGGACUUUAAUCAUAUGUGACGCAUCAUGAUAUGCGGUAUAUUCAGUGCGUAAUAGAAAAAUAGCGAUAGAAACACCGUUUAUUGUUCAGCACGUAAAUAAAAUUUCACAGUAAGUGAGUAAGUAAGUAAAUUUUAUUCAAAGUCGGCACUGUAUACAAUAGUAACAAACUAGAACUGUCCUAAUGGGACUAAUACCCCCUGCGGGGCAUAUAAGAUGAUGGGAAAUAUUUAAUGCAAACACAUUGGAUAUUUUCACAUUAUCUACAGGGCAAUCAAUGUAAACGCAGAAGUGUAUAUUCUACAGUACAGCAGUAGGCCUACAUGAAAUAUUAAAAAUAUGCUUAAUAUAAACAAUGAAUACUACUUGGCUCAUUUUAGGCUGUAUGAUUGCAAAUCCCUGGUCAACUCUUCUAGUCUUUAGUUUAUAUUCACUUUGUUAAAGAUCAUUAUGUUAUGCCAACUUUACUUUGUCAUUGAUUUUGUCAGUAAAUAAAUGAUAUUAGCUCAA